UUUUUCCGUAGGGUGAACCUGCGGAGGGAUCAUUACACAAAUAUGAAGGCGGGCUGGAACCUCUCGGGGUUACAGCCUUGCUGAAUUAUUCACCCUUGUCUUUUGCGUACUUCUUGUUUCCUUGGUGGGUUCGCCCACCACUAGGACAAACAUAAACCUUUUGUAAUUGCAAUCAGCGUCAGUAACAAAUUAAUAAUUACAACUUUCAACAACGGAUCUCUUGGUUCUGGCAUCGAUGAAGAACGCAGCGAAAUGCGAUAAGUAGUGUGAAUUGCAGAAUUCAGUGAAUCAUCGAAUCUUUGAACGCACAUUGCGCCCUUUGGUAUUCCAAAGGGCAUGCCUGUUCGAGCGUCAUUUGUACCCUCAAGCUUUGCUUGGUGUUGGGCGUCUUGUCUCUAGCUUUGCUGGAGACUCGCCUUAAAGUAAUUGGCAGCCGGCCUACUGGUUUCGGAGCGCAGCACAAGUCGCACUCUCUAUCAGCAAAGGUCUAGCAUCCAUUAAGCCUUUUUUUCAACUUUUGACCUCGGAUCAGGUAGGGAUACCCGCUGAACUUAANCAUAUCAAUAACCGGAGGAAA
rnacentral:rRNA from 1 species